GUCUCCAUGGCAUCCCUAUGUGUCCCUAUGUGUCCCUACGUGUCUCCAUGGGGUCCCUAUGGGUCGCUAUGUGGCGCUAUGGGUCGCAAUGUGUCGGUAUGUGUCCCCCCGGUGGCUGUGUGUCUCUAUGUGUCCCUAUGUGUCCCUACGUGUCUCCAUGGCAUCCCUAUGUGUCUCCAUGGCAUCCCUAUGUGUCCCUAUGUGUCCCUACGUGUCCCUAUGUGUCCCUAUGGCUCUCUAUGGGUCCCUACGUGUCCCUAUGGUUCUCUAUGUGUCUCUAUGUGUCUCCAUGGGGUCCCUAUGUGUCCCUAUGCGUCUGUAUGUGUCUGUAUGUGUCCCUAUGUGUCCCUAUGUGUAUCCAUGGGGUCCCUAUGGUCGCUAUAGGUCUCUAUGUGUCCCUAUGUGUCUCUAUGUGUCUCUAUGCGUCGCUAUGGGUCUCUGUGGGUCCCUACGUGUCCCUAUGUGUCCCUAUGUGUCUCUAUGGGUCCCUAUGUGUGUCUAUGUGUCCCUAUGGGGUCCCUAUGUGUCUCUAUGGGUCUCUAUGGGUCUCUAUGUGUCUGUAUGUGUCCCUAUGUGUCUCUAUGUGUCCCUAUGUGUCUCUAUGUGUCUCUAUGCGUCGCUAUGGGUCUCUGUGGGUCCCUAUGUGUCCCUAUGUGUCCCUAUGUGUCUCUAUGGGUCCCUAUGUGUGUCUAUGUGUCCCUAUGGGGUCCCUAUGUGUCUCUAUGGGUCUCUAUGGGUCUCUAUGUGUCUCUGUGUGUCCCUAUGUGUCUCAGUGUGUCUCUAUGUGUCCCUACGUGUCUCCAUGGGGUCCCAAUGGGUCGCUAUGGGUCGCUAUGGGUCGCAGUGUGUUGGUGUGUGUCCCCCAGGUGGCUGUGUGUCUCUAUGUGUCUGUAUGUGUCCGUAUGUGUCCCUGUGGGUCCCUAUGUGUCCCUAUGUGUCUCCAUGGCGUCCCUAUGGGUCCCUAUGGGUCGCUAUGGGUCGCAAUGUGUCCCCAUGUGUAGGUGUGCGUCCCCCCGGUGGCUGUGUGUCUCUAUGUGUCCCUAUGGGUCCCUAUGUGUCUC
rnacentral:lncRNA from 1 species